CAAAAAUGCAGGUGGGCAAAAGUAUAGGGAUUGGGAAUUCAAUGUAAUGGUUCUUAGUCAUCUCCCAGGUUUCUUUCACUGGGUGUAGCUGGUUCAGUUCAUUACUGCUCCAUUGGAACUGAUUUGGUUCAUCUCAUUGCUGAGGAUGGCCAGAUCCAUCAGAAUUGGUCAUCACAUAGUAUUGUUGUUGAAGUAUAUAAUAAUCUCCUGGCCCUGCUCGUUUCACUCAGCAUCAGUUCAUGUAAGUCUCUCGAGGCCUUUCUGAAAUCAUCCUGUUGGUUAUUUCUUACAGAACAAUAAUAUUCCAUAACAUUCACAUACUACAGUUUAUUCAGCCAUUCUCCAAUUGAUGGGCAUCCACUCAGUUUCCAGUUUCUGGCCACUACAAAGAGGGCUGCCACAAACAUUCAUGCACAUACAGAUCCCUUUCCCUUCUUUAGUAUCUCUUUGGGGUAUAAGUCCAAUAGUAACAUUGCUGGAUCAAAGGGUAUGCACAAUUUGAUAACUUUUUGAGCAUAGUUCCAAAUCACUCUCCAGAAUGGCUGGAUGUGUUCACAAUUCCACCAACAAUGUAUCAGUGUCCCUGUUUUCCCACAUCCCCUCCAACAUUCCACAUUAUCUUUAGUAUGGACAUUCUUGAAAGCAAUAAACUGUUCAUAUCCAUUGAACCUGCAGUAUAAAAGAACUGAAAAUAAGGUAGAUGUGCUUCUUCACAGGGUGAAGCAUUCAUCCAAAACAAAUUGAAUCAGGAAAAAGGGAAUGAUUUCCUUCCCUUGUUCCCUCUCUUUUACCUGGAAUUUGACAAAUAAGCCUAGAGAUGUUCUGUUUCAUUUAUCCAGUUUCAGAUGCCAGUAGCAAUCCCUAUUAGAUCCAAGAGUCUGUGCCACAGUGAUGACCUUGGAACCAGGAUUCAGGCAGGAUGAUGUAGUCAACCAGCUCACUGUGGAAGCCCUGAGACGCCGGAGUGUCUGGGAUUCAAGCCUGAGGAAAAUUUGGACAUGGAAUUUGGACUGUGUUCUAUAGGAUCCAAACUAAUUUGUCAACUAACUGAUCCUUUUCUACUCUCUAGAGGUGGUGCAAGACAGCAUCUCUGGAAUAUGGUCCCUUCCCUACUCACAGAAUUACUACAAUAAUUCAUCUCUCAACCAUGGCACAGCAACCACUUCCAGGCAAAACUAUUUCAGCAGAAGAGCUAAACCAGAUUGAGGAUAACCAAAGGACCUCUAAUUUGUCAUGAAUUAGGGGGAUGUUUACUCCAAGUGUGUGAAGACAUCCUCUGAUGGAAUGGACAGAUGAGAAAUUUUUGUUCCAAUGACCACAAAGAUGGCUGAAGUGGGUAUUAUGGAGUACUACGAGGUUGGGUCAGACAUCAAAAAAACCAAAAUCAUCCACUGCAUCCUGGGCCAUCACAGGUUGUCUUGACUUUUGUCCUGCCACUGGACUUCAAUGACUAGAAGAGAUAGACUGACAAUUUUGAACAGCUCUGCCUCACUUUACUCUAGUUCAUCCCUGUGUUGUCAUUGGUCCUCUUCCAGAACAAAGGAUAAACAACAACAACAACAACAAAAAAAACAGCAACAAAAACAACCACCACUAUAUUUCAAGUUCUCAUAACCUAAACUAUUACAAUAGCCUUCCAGUUGUACUUCCUAACUCAUUUUUGUCCCCUCUAACUCAUCUUCCAUAUAAAUGCCAAUAUAUUUUUCCUGAACAUAGACUUGUCACUCAGUAGUUAUUAUUGACUCCCUACUACCUCUAGGAUCCAAUAUUAGCUCUUCUGUUUGCCCCUGAAAGCUCUUUACUGGCCCCCUCAUAUAUUUAUAAUAUGUGCUAUAUUAUGUAUAAUUAUAUAUAUUUUACAUAUAAUAUAUAUACUAUUUUAUAGUUUUUACCAUAUUAAAGCUCUUCCACAUGUUCCAUGAGCCAAUAAUAGGGAUCUACUUGCUGUUUCUCAACUGUGAUGCUCCAACUUCCACCUCAAUGCUCUUAUUCUGGCUGUCCCAUAUUUGGAAUGCUCUCCUUUCUAGCCUGCCUCCCUUUAAGACUCAGCUCAAGAGCCACUUUCUUCUGGGAGCAUUUUCCAAUUAUGUUCCCUCCUCCUUUAUAGCCUUCCCCUCCAAGAUUGCCUUCCACUCACUCUUUAUUUAUCUUGUGUAUGCCUAUUUAUGUAUAUGUUUUUCCUUCAUUAGAAUGAAAGAUCCUUUAGGUUUUUUUUUUCCUUUAUUAUUUUCAGAACGUAGGUAUAAUUCCUGGCAUAUAAUAAGGACUUAAUAAAUACUUGUUGAUGGAUUAUUGUAUUUAAUCGUGACUCCAAAAGAUUGAUGAUGAAAUAAACUUUCAUAUCUUUUGACAGAAUUAACAGAGUAUAAGUACACAA